rnacentral:rRNA from 1 species
CCUACGGGGGGCUGCAGUGGGGAAUAUUGGGCAAUGGGCGAAAGCCUGACCGAGCAACGCCGCGUGAAUGAAGAAGGCUUUCGGGUUGUAAACUUCUUUUGACAGGGAAGAGCAGAAGACGGUACCUGUCGACUCAGCCACGGCUAACUACGUGCCAGCAGCCGCGGUAAUACGUAGGUGGCAAGCGUUGUACGGCUUUACUGGGUGUAAAGGGCGUGUAGCCGGGCUGACAAGUCAGAUGUGAAAUCCGGGGGCUCAACCCCCGAACUGCAUUUGAAACUGGGGGUCUUGAGUAUAGGAGAGGCGGGCGGAAUUCCUAGUGUAGCGGUGAAAUGCGUAGAUAUUAGGAGGAACACCAGUGGCGAAGGCGGCCUGCUGGACGGCAACUGACGGUGAGGCGCGAAAGCGUGGGGAGCAAACAGGAUUAGAUACCCCUGUAGUC